rnacentral:tRNA from 1 species
GAUAAAGAGAGGGGUUAAACCUCCUUAAAUAGGACUACAGCCUACCGCCUAUCGCUCGGCCACUUUACC